AGGGUGACUUAUAGCAAUGGUUGCAUGAACCGUUCCCAUAAAGUUACCUAUGACAACACUUAAUUGACAAAAAAGGCUAUUGCAUCAAUUGUCAUUUAUUCCUAUUUCCCUCCCAAUUUUUUUCCUACAUCCGCCAAAAUUAAAAUAAUAUAUAUCAAAAAUUAAAUAAGUAUAUAAAGAAAAUUUUCCAUUUCUGAUGAAGAUUUCCCAUUCUCAACCUCAACAGCCAGUACGCUCCGAUGACCAACACCACCAGUAGGCUCCAUCCACAUACCACACAUCACCAGUAGCUCCGACCAUACACCACCAGUAGCUCUGACCGCAUACCACCAGUAAACUCUGACUGCACACCACCAGUACACUUAUUUCCAACUUCUCUCUCAAUCUGUCUCCGACCGUCUGAGUUCAAUUUCACCCCAAAAUCACUACUAAUGAAAGUGAUUUGUACUAUGCUAAUCUUAACUGUGGGAAGCAUCCUCCAAGAAGUUGUAAAGAGGCACCACUGCUCCGACCACCGCUUAAAUUUCUGAGCAAAUUUGGGGCUUUCGUCUAAUUUGUUGAUUUUAAGAAUUUUCGCAGUUUAAUUCAAAGAAAGCUAGUGAAUUAUUGAAGACAAUCAUGGCCUCAUAGAUGGAUGCUUCAUAACGGAUACCCCAUGCCACCAAAUAUGCUAGAUUCUUAUGGAUCAAGAGCAUCUUCGAUUGGAGAAAGUUUAGCUGAUGGAGCAAGUACUGCGGCUGCUACCUCUGAUCAAUCUGGAGACCUGUGGUCGACGAUCAAAUCAAAUGUUGUAUAGAAGGACUGCAUGUGAUUCAACUUUUUGGCAUGAUCGGACUUGUCCCAUCGGAAUAUCCUGGUGUAUUGCUUCAAUAUAAGUAUUUCCUUGGAAGAGUCGGGAAGCAGUGAUUGGGAGAAGCCAUGAUACAAGCAGUUGAUUUUCUUAUUCUAUUACUUACUGGACUCUGUUUCGGAACACUUGCUGAAGUGAGUGAUGAAACACUUAGAUUUAUGGGGUACCUUUACAUGGUCAUUGCAGUUCAUCUUCUCACCAAGAUUGAGGAUUUGAGGUCAUUUUCUCUAGAUAAAUUACACUACUGGAGACGGAGUGCAUUUGGCAUGAGCAGUUUGGUAUACUUUUUGGAUAAGGAUACAGUUGAUCAUAUCAAUACUAUUGUAAAGCGUACAGUUUAUCUCUCAGUGUUCUACUUCUUCAACAAUCCAAGAUUUUCAAUUUUUGAUAAUUGUGGCGUCUUGUUGUGUCGUAUAUUGUGUUACUGGGAUAGCAUAUGCACUUGCCAUCAACUUUGAACUUGAACAAGCUCAACUGGUGUGUACUCGAUAUUUUGUUUUGUGAUGUGCAUAUAUUUUGUUAUAAUUUAUUAUCUAUGUAAAUAAAAAUUUACGUUAA